AUUUGUUUAGUUUAAUUAAAAAUAUUAAUUUGUGAUGUUAAUGAUUAAAAUAAAUA
rnacentral:tRNA from 1 species